rnacentral:rRNA from 1 species
CCGAGCACGCCGCGUGAGUGAAGAAGGUUUUCGGAUCGUAAAACUCUGUUGGUAGAGAAGAACGUUGGUGAGAGUGGAAAGCUCAUCAAGUGACGGUAACUACCCAGAAAGGGACGGCUAACUACGUGCCAGCAGCCGCGGU